GGCUGACCAUCAACAUCAAUUUCCCCCUGAAGACGAUUUAAGCAUGUAUUGUAUAGUUGAGUUUCUGGCUGAAGGGACUGUGGAAAUGGUUCCAGAUAUCUGGAUAAAAAAGGAGAAUGAGGGGGUGUACAGCUAUUGGCCACCAUCAAAAGCAUCCAAAAGGGUGCAAAGAAGAGAGCUUCCUGAUGAAGAGAAUUGGACACUUCACAGGGUCAGGG